GAUCUUUCAGAGUGAAAAAAUUAUUGACGUACCAUGAGAGGCACGAGUGUAAUAUGAAAUAUAAGUGUCCAUUUUGUCAAAACUAUCUGUCGGGUCGUUUAUCGAGUAAACAUCUUGAGACGUGUAGGAAAAAACACGCCGCUGCCGAGUUAACCACCGUUGAAGUAAUUAAGAUGAUCAAUGUAAAAAAUGAGAACCCCUUUUAAAAAGUAAAGUUCGUCUGACAACGUUUCGUAUUUACAUUAAAAAAAAAAAAAAAAAAAAAAAAAAAAAAAAAAAAACAUCCAUAUUAACUAUUGGGUGAUAAAUGCAAAAAAAAAAAAGAAAAUGGCGUAUCUCCGAUUUUGGUAUUUGAUUUUGGUAUUUAAUUUUGCUACCAAUCGAACGAAUUUACCACGUACUUCACGCUUUUCGAUUGAAAUGUUAAACAAUUUCAAAGAAAAUAUAUUGUCCUGCACGUGGGGAAUUUAUUUAUCGAUUAUAAGAUUUGAUUUACGUUUAUAGGUUGUGUCGUGUUCUUAUUUGACUUACGUAUUAAUAAUGAAUAUAUGAAAUGA
rnacentral:misc_RNA from 1 species